GCAGGAAUUAACAAGGGCUCGCUCAGCCUCAGAGAGCUCCACAGCAUCCCUGGAGGAAGGCAGCCAGACAUCCUCAGACAGCACUGCUGAGGAGCCGGAGGGGACGUCGGAGGACAAGAGCUCUGGAUUCCGAUGGUUCGGCUGGUUUCGGUCCAAGCCCCAGAAGGAAACCUCUCCCAAAGUCACGACCUCAGGCUCCCCCACGCCAGGACUGCAGGAUCGGAGGUCCCCAUCCCCACCUGGUGCUGUCCCUUCUGCUCAGCCCCCAGCACCCCCAUCUCCUUACAGAAACCCCGGUAAGUGCUCCUAUUGGGAAGCUUCUCCUUUC
rnacentral:lncRNA from 1 species